ensembl:lncRNA
ACUGUGCACAAUAAAGUUUUCACAAGUAUAAACAACGGUGAUAUAAGUCAACAGUGCUGUAGCCAGGUGUGAAGGUAUGGUGUGUGAUGAUUGUACAUCGUGUUUGUAGCUUUGGAUGCUAAUCUUGAAUUGUAGUUUAAAAUAUGUAUGUAUUUUUGUAACUCUUUGAAAGCUUAUGAAGACUGACAGCUUUCCUUGUAAGCACUAAGACAAAAAAAGAAGAGGGACAUUUGACAAUUUUAAAGAAACAAGAAGAAAUUAGAAUGAAAAGCUGUGACAAACAGUGUCAGUGUGGCCAUGUCCACAUUCCUCCAUGUCUCUCUCUACAGGCACCUUUCUAAGAAGCCUGACAUCCCGGUAGACUCUUUAUAGUAAUGUACGCUUGAUUCCAGAUGAGCCCUGAUCUUAUCUGGAUGCUCCGAUAAGAGGUUUCCAUCUGAGCAUCCAGAUGCUCCCUCAGAUUCCAAGACAUUUCACCCGAGGCCCUAGAUUCACUCGGGAAUUCGUACACUUCACGUCUUUCUAGAAAUGAGGUGUAAAAUUUAAGACCAGACCUCAGCCAUCAGUGUCCAGACCAUCCUGGAAGUCUUUCCCAACCUCACAGAGAAAGCCCUAGUAUUUCCCAGUGACCCCAGGAUUCCAUGUUGGGGCGGCCAAAGAAAUAGGUCUCUUCGGGCUUUGCCACAGCCUGCAGCCCAUCCUUCGGAGGCACACACAGCACCUCUGGGCUGCUCCAGCUCUGUGGGAUAGCCUCCCCUGGGGUCCGUGGGAUGUGGGCCACAGUGUUGAGGGAGACAAGGAGGAUCAAUCAGAGGCCUCUUGCCUCUCCACAGAGACUGGAUUGUCAUUGUUCCUUCAUUUAUGUUGCAGGGCUUAACAUUUCACUCAAAAAAAGCCCUUCUUUUUCUAAUCCUUAGUCUUUGUUUCAAGGAAAGCCAGUUUUUCUUUUACCACAUUUUCCAGGAUCAACUUUAAGAAAAACGCAACAUCUAUUGAAAAAAAGUGGGAUGUAUGCAUGUGGUUUAAUUCCAGAUUGCUUUUGGGUUUAAGUGGUAUCAAAUUUCAGUAUAUUUCUGUCUUACGUGAAAGAAAUAUAUUACUAAAACGUCAGUGAGCAAUAAUGUCAGCUGUCGAGCACUAGAUUUAUUUUUGCAGGAUAUGGAGUGCAAUGAACUGAGUCAAUAUGGCGAGGUGUAUGUGAUCUGUGGGAGUUAUGCCAUUUAACAUAGGAAGUGCAUGGGACUUUCCCUCUCUGCACUCCAGCUCUUACUGUACCAUUAGAAAAUGCAAAAAGUACAGCCCUACGUUCAAACAGAAUGGAUCUGAAGAAAGCAAUAUCUGUUGUAUUAGAGAACAUUCCCAUGUGUUUAUACUCUUCACUUCUUAGAUGCAUUUAAAUUCUUAAUGCAAAUGACGUAGCAAUUUGAAAACUUCUCCGUAUUAAUUGUGUUUAAAAGUCUUGCUUUAAAUAAAAAAAAAAAUGGUAACAGGGAUUAUCUUUUGUUUUGAAGGUUAAAUAUUAUUUUUGCCUUAGAUAGCUUUGUAAUAAUUUUUCUCCAGACAGUUCAAAACUUUUGAAAAAUGACAUGAAUUUUCAUUAAAAACCCUUUUCCUAUGUUUAUUGUAUACAAUAAUUAUGCAAUAAAAUUUCUUUAUAAAAA